rnacentral:rRNA from 1 species
ACGCAGGCGGUUUGUUAAGUCAGAUGUGAAAUCCCCGGGCUCAACCUGGGAACUGCAUCUGAUACUGGCAAGCUUGAGUCUCGUAGAGGGGGGUAGAAUUCCAGGUGUAGCGGUGAAAUGCGUAGAGAUCUGGAGGAAUACCGGUGGCGAAGGCGGCCCCCUGGACGAAGACUGACGCUCAGGUGCGAAAGCGUGGGGAGCAAACAGGAUUAGAUACCCUGGUAGUCCACGCCGUAAACGAUGUCGACUUGGAGGUUGUGCCCUUGAGGCGUGGCUUCCGGAGCUAACGCGUUAAGUCGACCGCCUGGGGAGUACGGCCGCAAGGUUAAAACUCAAAUGAAUUGACGGGGGCCCGCACAAGCGGUGGAGCAUGUGGUUUAAUUCGAUGCAACGCGAAGAACCUUACCUGGUCUUGACAUCCACGGAAGUUUUCAGAGAUGAGAAUGUGCCUUCGGGAACCGUGAGACAGGUGCUGCAUGGCUGUCGUCAGCUCGUGUUGUGAAAUGUUGGGUUAAGUCCCGCAACGAGCGCAACCCUUAUCCUUUGUUGCCAGCGGUCCGGCCGGGAACUCAAAGGA